UACCCCUGAACUUUGGUAUCUCUACAAUUUAGCCAGGUUUAUACUUUAGCUCGAGUUGGAAGGGCCGGAGAUAUCAUCACACUAUUGAGUCAUUAUGUGAGUUGAGAAGAUUGUAUAUCAUCAUGGUUUAAGGCAUGUAUAGGAUAGACUAUAGGUAGAAUGAUAUUUCGACUUGUAUACAUUGUAGCCAUGCGAAGAUGGCUUGCUCAUUUUGUUUAGAGAAGCCUUAUAAUUGAACUAAUGUGGUGAAAUGUUUUAGUUAUAA